rnacentral:rRNA from 1 species
AGAGUUUGAUCCUGGCUCAGGACGAACGCUGGCGGCGUGCUUAACACAUGCAAGUCGAGCGGAAAGGCCCUUCGGGGUACUCGAGCGGCGAACGGGUGAGUAACACGUGAGCAACCUGCCCCUGGCUCUGGGAUAGCUCCGGGAAACCGGGAUUAAUACUGGAUGCGACCUUCUCCUGCAUGAGGGAAGGUGGAAAGUUU